ensembl:rRNA 5S_rRNA 5S ribosomal RNA
GCUUACGGCCAUGCCAACCUGGCCAUGCCCGUUCAAGUCUGAUCUCGGAAGCUAAGCAGGUUUGGGCCUGGAUAGUACUUGGAUGGGAGACUGCCUUGAGAUACCAGGUGCUGUAAGCU